rnacentral:rRNA from 1 species
UACGGAGGGUGCAAGCGUUAUCCGGAUUCACUGGGUUUAAAGGGUGCGCAGGCGGGCUAUUAAGUCCGUGGUGAAAUCCCGGGGCUCAACCCCGGAACUGCCAUGGAUACUAUUAGUCUUGAAUGUUGUUGAGGUGGGCGGAAUAGGUCAUGUAGCGGUGAAAUGCAUAGAUAUGACCUAGAACACCGAUUGCGAAGGCAGCUCACUGGACAAAUACUGACGCUCAGGCACGAAAGCGUGGGGAUCAAACAGG